rnacentral:lncRNA from 1 species
GGGUUGUCCUGAUGUUUCCAUUGCAGAUCUUGUCACAACCAUUUGCAUCUUUGCUGCCUUUGAACUGAAUGGCCUGGGACUAAGUUUGAAGUUUGCUCAGAAACUACUGCURAUGUGGAUGAGAGCUCCUAGAUGAGGCCAGCCACUGUUGGCUGCCUCUCUCCAGGGUACCUGCGGUGCUGACUUCAAAGGGAUUCCCAUUGACUAGACCUUAACUGCCAGUGGGUUAUAAGACACAUCCAUUCGUCUUGGCUUUUUAUGAACUCUGAUCAGGGUCAACCACUGGAUUCUGUGACAUUUAGCCCGAUGGGUGUGCUUUCUUGUCUUUCGAUCUCGAAUGAUGCUGGUGCUGCUGAGAGGACUAAAAUGGGGAUGUGGCCUUGCUGGAAGUUAACGUCUGCUUACUUUUGACCUCUAUGGGGUAAGUGCGUGUUUCAACAGCGUCUGGGAGCUGACUGUUAAAGCAGAAUUUCUGGAUUGAAUCAGCGGGACACAGAAAAGCCUCAGGUCCACAUUGGACAGCAGUACAGCACUGCCGACUGCCCUCCUCAGCACAUGUUUUGACACAGAACAAAUCUGCUGAUGCAAGCUGAAUGCUUCUAGGUGUUCUGACAUAAGACUGUAAGGGGCUAAGCUAUUAAAGGAAAAACUGCCUGAGUUCAUACAUUCUUAACAGUUACUGGAUUCUCUCUUGCUUCUUUUUAGUUUUUCAUUAAAAGGUGGAUUUAUAUUAACAUAGUUUUUCUGUUAAGACCCUUUCAAAAUAGGUGUCAAAAUGUGUGCUGUAGCUUGUAUAUUAUUUUUAAUCCCUGUUUAUAAUAAUGCCUCAGAAGCCUGAAACUAACAUCUGUUUCCUUCUUGGGUUGGUUUUCUUCUAUAGAAGACACUUCCCUUAUUUUAGCUACAAAAGGCUACCCUAUUCUGUAAUCAAGGGUCAAAAUGUCAUAAACUAAAGUUACGCUGUCUGGGGCUUGGACGUAAGGGAGCUCGUUACUGCAGCAUCUAACUUGUGGGGAAAAUAGCAAAGCCCAGCCUGGCCUUUGUGUGCAAGACAGAAGCGGGAAUGUUAAAUCCUCUUCCCUUUGGUUAUGGGUCCCUGGGGAAAAAAGGAAUUGCCCAUGUUACCUUCGCUGUGUUCGUAACUCUUGUUGCUCUGCAUUAUGGUGAUGAUUAUAAUCACAUCCCUUGCUUCAGAAAUUCAGCUGGUCACCUGUAAGGGGCAGGAAGGAAUUUACUUUCUAAUGCAUG